GGCCGGGGGCCGGCUGGGGGCUUCGCCUCGCUGGGCAGCGCACAGCAUGGCGGCCAGUGUGCGCCCCCCAUGUCUCGGCCUCUGCCCGGUCUCCGCGUCAGAACCGGGGCUCAGGGGCCCUGGGCCCCGUCCUCUCCAGGCUCUGAGCCUCCCUCUGAAGGACCCCUUGGCCUCUUCCAAACCCACUACCACCUGUGUCCGCCCAGCUCCUCUCUGCCUGGGGCCAGGGGGGGACACCAGGCGUGGAGCGGCUCACGAGGUCUGCACCACAAACGCCUCAAAUCCUGGGACUUCAGAGGCCCCGGAAGAGAGCUCGCCCGAGCGGCGGUCUGCUCCUUGGUGGCUUUUCGAGCCCUGUCACCCAGGCAGGAGGCCCUGGCUGCGCCGGGACGAGGCAGGGGUUCGGGGAGGCGGUGGGUUGCUCAGAGGGGCCCACCCCGCAGGCAGGGCCGGGCUGGGCGACCGGCGGCCGGGCUCACGAGCCCCCGCCCGUCUGGGCUGCACUGUGGCCUGCUAAACCCUGGCGGCCCAGCUGGGAGGGGAGGCGGUGCUGUUUGGGAAACGAGCUCUGAGGGGUGGGAGGGCUGCUGGCGCCAGGAGUGGCUGGGCCUGCUCUGGGCCUCCUCCCAACACGAGGCUGCGGGGACCCCAUCCGCACCCCUGGGCCCCUCGCCCCGGGGCCUGUCUCCUGGGGCACCAUGCAUACCCCUACGCAAACCCCAGAGCCAAGGCAGCCUGAGGGCCCUUACCCGCUCUGAGCCCCGAUUUGCACACCUCCCGUGACCGGGUGCUCACUACCUCACAGGCACACCGUCCAGAUACACAGCCGUGGGGCUGCAGUGAGGGAGGACCCCUCUCUGACUGCUAGGUCUCCGGAUCAUUCGGGCUGAGCGGCCGGUACCAAGGCCCCAACUGGGUGCAUAGGCUGGGGCUCCUGUACGCCCAGGACAGUUCACUUAAUUAGUCCAGUGUGCAGUUACUGACUGCCUGCGUGCACCAGGCUCGGCCAGGAGCUAGGGCUACAGAAACUGGUGACACGGGGAUCCUAAAAGGGCCCUCCCCGUGUGGCAGCGACUUUGCCACGGGAAGUGCCUUGGGUGUCGGAGCUGGAGAGGUGGGUCACAGGAGGAAGGGCCUUCUCGUGAGGGAACAGCCUGUGCAGAGCCUGGAGGUCUGAGCCGGAAGGGGCGCUGGGAAGGCCCGGGUCAUGGCCACGGGAGCCCCGCCCGGGCGGCCGAGCGGGAAGGACACUCGUGGUGGGAGGGCAGUGUGGCCGAGGCGCUGGGGACGGACGCAGGGUCCCUGUGGGGGGCCUCCCCCUCCAGGUCGGCGAGGUCGGGCCCCGGGGAGCUGGCGGCCCCCGCAGUCGGACGGUGCCGCUGGGGAGGACGUGUCGGGACCGGUCCCGGCAGAGCGGCGUCUGUCCUGCACGGCUCCAGCCCCCGACAGCCUGGCGGGGUCACCCCGAAGCAGGCUCAGCUGGGAGGCGUCCCGUCCAGCGCGGGGUGCGCAGCGGGGGAAGGUCACGGGCGGGGCGGAGCAGGGAGGUCGGCAGUGAGGCCCCAGGACGCGAGUGUGUCGGGUCCCAGCGAAGGGAUUCGGUAGAAGAUGGCCUGGGGCUGCUGGCCAUCGCCCUCCGACCACAGGGCAGGAGAUUAUCCUGGGGGAACCACAGGGCCCCCGGGGAAGACGGAGGCCGGCGGGGCCGGGGAGCUGGCUCGGGCCUCUGGCCUCUGGAACCCGGCGGGGGGCUGGGUGGGGACUUGUGUUUUUAGGCUUCAAGAGUGAGUAUUCGAGAGACAGAGGCCACAGCCGAUGAUCUAUGACCUGUGACCUAGCCUUGGAGGAGGGGAGCCAAGACAAACUCCUAGAAAGAGCUGCUGCACCCACCGGCCCCCCUCGCCCCCGCCCCGGCCCCCGGAAAGGGUCCUGCCAGCCUCCCAGCGGCCUGUGUCACAGGCUGCGCCUGCGUGAGGUCCCGGGGCCGCAGCCGACUGGGCGUUCAGACAGCAGGAACGUGUCCUCAGCUGCGCGGUGGGUGAGGGCAGGGCCGGCUCCUUGCAGGCUCGGGGCGAGGCGGGGUCCUCGUCUCCCAGCUCCAGAGGGCUGCUGGCGCCCCUCGACCGGCCCUCAUCCAGGAUGGCCUCGUCUGGAGACCCUUCCCUUUGUGACACCUGCCAAGGCCAGGCGGUAGGCGAGAGACACACCAGCAAAGAGUCCGGAAGUCCACCAAGUCCCUCAGCAAGUUUAUUCACGUACGGUAAACGGCGCAUGUAAAAGCGUACAGUUGGAUGAGCUGAGAUGCGUAGACACCCAGGGAACCUUUGCCACGUUCAGGACAGUGAACGUCUCCAUCAACCAGAGUCUCUGCAUUUUAUUUUUAUGGUAACGAUGUGGCCAGGACCAAGCAGGGGCCUCCUUCCCACUGCGUAACUGCUGCCUCGUUGCUGGGUUGGGCCUGCCUGUCCGUCGGUCCGUCUCAGGCCCUUACGAAACUCCUGCUAAAAAUGCCUGUGUGGGACUUCCCUGGUGGCGCAGUGGUUACGAAUCUACCUGCCAACGCAGGGGACACGGGUUCGAGCCCUGGGCCGUGAAGAUCCCACAUGCUGCGGAGCAACUAAGCCCAUGCGCCACAGCUACUGAGCCUGCGCUCUAAAGCCCGCGAGCCACAACUACUGAGCCCACAAGCCACAACUACUGAAGCCCGCGCGCCUAGAGCCCGUGCGCUGCAACAGGAGAAGCCACCACAAUGAGAAGCCCGUGCACCCCAACGAAGAGUAGCCCCCGCUCACCGUGACUAGAGAAAGCCCGCGCACAGCAACGAAGACCCAACACAGCCCAAAAGUAAAUAAAUAAAUAAAUUUAUAAGAAAUAAGAUAAAAAGGCCUGUGUGCCCGUCCCUGUGCACAGCUGCACGGUCGCUGUAAGAUGACUUCCUGGCAGCGCGCCCCGAGCCAAGGGGUUGCUCCUCGUCAGAUCUGGCCACGUUCCCGCCCGGGGAAGUGGCUGCACCCCCGGCGCCCCACACCCCAGGCGAGGCCCCUCCUGCCCCCGCGUCUGCAGGGCACCAGGAGGAGCCGCCACCUCCGGGUGUCCCUGGUCUCCGCCGCGCCUUCAUUUCCUGCCCCCCGAUAUCUGACACCAAAUGCUGGGGGGUCUCCUGAGCGCUGCUCCAGGCCAGCCGGUCCCUUUUCUCGGCAACAAGAAUGAUUUUUCAAGCUCGUGACCCCUGAACUUUGAGGUGGCGCCCACACCCUGGGGUCCAGAAGGGCCCCCCCAGCCCCCUGUGUGGGGCCUGCCUCUGCAUCGCAUGCACCUGAACCCAAGGGUUCUGUGCCCGGUGGGACUCUUCAUAGGGAAAAAACCGCAAACUGGCUGGAGCAGGGCACUGGGUCGAAGGGCGUCCCCCCAACAUUCACAUCCACCCAGAACCUCAGAAUAGGACCUUGUUUGGAGGGAGGGUCUUUAGAGAGGUCAUCCUGCCCCUCGCGCAGUGACAGAGGCAGAGGUGCAGGCCACGGCCACAAGCCAAGGCACGUGGGAGCCCCAGAAGCUGAAGGGGCAGGAAGGACCCCCCUCCGCCGGAGCGCCGUUGGGAGAUGGCCCUGCGACACCAGCCUCUGGAGCUGACAGGGUGUGACUUGGCGGUGUUUUCAGCCCCCUAGGCUGUGGUCCCGUUAGGGCAGCCCCAGGACACCGUGGAAGCAGAGUUCAGAAAAUUACCCCACUCGCAGAAACGAGGCAAAUGGGUGACGUGUGUCCCUUCAUGGGGUCACUGUCUAACCAGCCUGCCGGGUGUCGCUCGGCCCGGGAGGGUUGCUUUCUCUGACUUGCCGUUUAUUAUCGACCAGGCCCAGGUGCCGCGAAGCUGGAGGUUACCUUGCGGAAAAUAGGAAAAGUGCGGGUAACUUUCCCCCAUAAACAUGCAGAUGACUUCUGUCUGGCGGAGACGAUAACCAAGGUUGUGGCUUUAUUGUCCUGUUAAGACAUUAACCUGACAUCAAUGUCAGACAUUAACUCCUAAGCCCAGCUCAGCAGUCUCGUUCCCGAGCUCCUUCUCCUCUGACUGCACGUGGAUCCGUCAGGGUUUGACAUUCUUCUUUGAACCAGCCUUGCCAUCUAGACUCGUUCCCUUGUUAACGGGUGAGAUAAAAUUCUGACAUGUGCUCAGUAUAUAUUUGGCUGAAAGCCUUUUGAAAAUUACACUUUGACAGCAGAAUUUGUUAGAGUGGAAAGAUCAGCUAUCUCUUAGUUUCAGGCAAGGGUUGAUCCAGGGACCAGAUGAUGUUGUUAGGAUUUGGAUGAAUUCUCCUUGCUCUUGGGUCUGCUGGCUGCGCUCUGGGGCAGGUAACGGUGGCCAGACGACAGCCGGCCGCCCAGGCUCGCGUCCCCCUAGCCGCAGUCCAGUGCACAGUUCCACCAGCUCUGUCCUGGUGCUCAGGCAGGAGCCUGGGGAUUGUUCUGGUCCGACCGGAUUGGCCAGGCCCCGCUGGCCAGGGGUCGCCAGGCUCCGACUGCGGCUCAGGUCACACCUGGCCUUGACACCCGAGGUGCAGGAUGUUCCCUAGAGGGGUCUGGAGUUGCACACACCUGGCUCCACACUCAGCCCCUCCAUCCACUUGUUAGCUGAGGCAGGCGGCAUGUUGCAAUGACAGCGCCCAGCCCGUAAGCUCUUUGUAUAAUUUGUCCUCCGCCCGUGGAGAGCAGGGGCCCUGCCCUUGAAUUUGAGUGGGAGCUUGUGACCACGGCGGAGGCAAUGCUAUGUGACUUCUUUUAAAAAAAUAAAUUAAUUUUAUUUAUUUAUUUA